CCUAUUCAUCUAAGAUGCGUUAAAAGCUAAACACAAAGCCUGCCUUCUCCCUGAGGAGAUAAAGCGGACCCAGUUCUUUCACCAUUCCGCGGAGACUCAGGGCCACGCGAGGAACAACUCUCCGCGAACACUGGAGUGUGAGAGCCCACAAACCAGAACCUCACCUGUCUGCCCAGGUGAACAGCCCUGAAUUUCUUGGGCCUCCCUCAAGGGCCCAGGAGUGGUCACGCGACCCAGGCCUGGCCAAUCAGAUUCGGAUACUCCUAACCUCGGUGAUUGUGGAGGGAGAGCAUGUGACCCAGAUUCGGACACUCCUCACAGCGUCCAAUCAGAUUCGGACACUCCCCACACUGUCCAAUCAGAUUCGGACACUCCUAACCUCCGUGAUUGCGGAGGAAGAGCAUGUGACCCAGGCCUGGCCAAUCAGAUUCGGACACUCCUAACCCCAGUGAUUGUGGAGGGAGAGCAUGUGACCCUUCAGAACCAAUGAGACUUCACUCUGCGGCUUCUCUGGACCUGUUAGAGGAAGUGUUUUCCCCGGAGACGGCUGAGAGAAUGGAAUGGAAAGCCUGGCGCAGAAGGCGGCCAUCUUGGCACCCUGAGGAGCGAGCCCGCGGGUAGGAAGUCCCAGCAACGCUUUGAGCUUCUGGACCCAGCAAUGCCUCACGGUCUAACCCUACACUCCGCCUUCCCCAGAGCUAAAACACCACACACACCGCCAGCCGUCAGCACUGUUUUAGGUUUUGUUCAAAGCUAGUUGAAAGCGGAUUUCUGUCAUUUGCAAUAACAUGAAACCUUAAAAAAAAGAAAAAAAAAGAUGAAGAAGUAUGCCUUAAGGUGGUCAUAUUAACGUAGACAGAGCGAGGAGGGUCAGUCUACAGCCCACGCCACGGCGAAGCACGGGGAUUAAAUACGGUUAACUGCCGGAGGCUCAUUCCCCUAACAAAGCCAUGUCUUAUAUGGAGCAGAAUCUCAAACUUUCAUUCAACCUAACCUAUAGAGUAUUUCUUUAAAUCCAUCUUCAUGCCAGUUGGCCCCAUCUUUAAAGACAGCUUGCCACAACUGAACUUCCGCUUUUUACCUUAUUUCCUAGUUCAAGGAAAGAAUGGACCAUGGUUCGCCUAUCUCCCACAAUUACAGAAAAAAAAAAAAAAAAAAAAAAAAAAUGUUUCCCAAGAUCAGAGUGGAAGUUGCUUCCAGGAACGUCCAGGGAGGACCGAGAGCGGACUGCUUUCCCUACAGUAAAUGAUCCAUGCACUUCCUUAUAAACUUAUCUCUGGAGAAUGAGCAGACCUUUCACCAGUCAAGAAAAACAAGUCAUUUACCAUCAGGGGCUGUUUGCCAGCUGGUUUUUUUAGAUCAGCAUCUGAAGAAGUUCUGAAAGAGCUGCCUCUGCUUGGAUCCCUCAGCUCUUCAAAUCUGAAAACUGUGUCGUUUCCAUUUAGGUGACUCAGACUGAGGGCAAUUUCUUCAGGCACAGAACUGCUGAGGGUGGCACAGCAUCCCCGUCUGAAUGUGUCGGUGUGUCAAAAAUACACCCAGUAUCAGUGUUCAGUGGAGUUUUCCAGAGACUACUUGGUAUGUGCCGUCAAAACAGAGAGACAGAAGCAGAGAACUCAGCUCUUCUAUUAAGCCAGACUUGCAAGAGACUUGUAAAAAACAACAAAAAAAAACAUUAAAUGAUUACUUUCCUUUCAUGAAUUUGUUUUU